GGGAAGGGAAGGGAAGGAAAGGAAAGGAAAGGAAAGAAGGAAAGGAGAAAGGAAAGGAGAAAGGAAAGGAGAAAGGAAAGGAGAAAGGAAAGGAGAAAGGAAAGGAGAAAGGAAAGGAGAAAGGAAAGGAGAAAGGAAAGGAGAAAGGAAAGGAGAAAGGAAAGGAGAAAGGAAAGGAGAAAAGGAAAGAAAAGAAAAAAGAAAAGAAAAGAAAAGAAGAAAAGAAAAGAAGAAAAGAAAAUGUACUUCUGAGAACUGGCCAGUAGAGGGAGCUUGUAAGAAAACAUUUCUGUCUAGGAGCUGGAAAAUUCCCACCGAGGAGACUCCGUGACUUUAAUUAUUGUAAUUAAUGGUAAAUUCAAGCAGACUUCCACGGGACACAAACCAGGACAGCCACAAAUCGACGGAGGUGCCAAGUGCAGGAAGCACAAUGGAGAACCUUCCCAAAACGCUAUUCAAGCUUAGGGUUCCCCACCUCGUUCCCCUUACAUAAUUCAAAAAUCUGUGGGAUUUAGGACGUGCAAUGUUUAGGCUCUUCAGAGUGAUCUAGGCUUCCUGAAAAAUUAUUCCCAAGUAGAAAGACACUGUUGGCUGGGAGUUGUGAAGAAGCUGCUGUUCUCUAGCUUUUAGCUUUCUUGCAACUUGAAGACAGGUAGCAAGAACGUGGUGUCAAUGGGUGAAGCUGUAUUCUAAGGAAAACACAGAAACUGAAAUUUGAAUGCCAAGUAAUUUCCAUAUGUCAAAACUUCUCUUUAAUACAUAUUUUUAAUUCUAUCUAUCUAUCUAUCUAUCUAUCUAUCUAUCUAUCUAUCUAUCUAUGUUAUUAUUGCACACAGGCUUUCUCUGUGUAGCCCUGGGUGGCCUAGAGCUCACUCUGUAGACCAGGCUGUCCUCGAACUCAGAGAUCUGAGUACCUAUGGCCCCUUGGGCACUGGCAUAAAGGCAUGUACCACCAUUGCCCUGUUCUUUUGAUAAUUUUUAGUCAUUAAAGUAAAAGCAUUCUUAGCUUGUAUACUACAAACACCAGGUGAACUUGGAUAUGGCUUUGGUUUGUAAACUCCUGGCCUAAGCCAACACUUAGCCCAACCUCCGAACUUCAUCUGUAAGGUCUGUGUUUCUCUUCAAGCAUACCUGUAUAAAUAUUCUCUUCCUGGGCCCAUGGAGAGAUAGGCACCUCAAAAACAAACAAGCAAACAAACAAACAAACAAACGAUACCCCCAAAACAACAACAACAAUAAAUUUAACAAACAAAUAAAAAUCAAAUAAACAAACAAAAAAACCCCCACAUUUCUUUGAGUACUCUAGAAAGAGAGGCAGAUGGAUCUUUGUGAGUUGGAGGCCAGCCUGUCUACAUAGUGAGUUCCAGGACAGUUAGGGCUGUGUAGAGAGAUCCUGUCUCAAAGAACAAAACAAAGGAUCAAAAAGAAAAAAAAUCUCUUUAAGGUACCACUGUGUAUGGCUGAGCAGAGAUAGCUGUAAGAAACUAGAGCUGAGGAGCGGGAGAGAUGACUCAUUGCUCCUUCAGAAGAGCUAGGGUUCAGCUCCCAGUACCCGUGUGGCAACACACAACCCUUUGUAACUCCAGUUCCAAGGAGAUCUGACACACGCUUCUGGCGUCUGCAAACACUGCAUACACAUGAUUCACACUCGUAUGUGCAGGCAAAACACUCAUGUAUAGAGUUUGAGUAAAUGAAAACUGGGACCCAGGUCGGGAUUAAUAGAACUGUGAUUCUCAGAGAAGGCAGAGAUAACUGCUACCCUGGCAUGAAUAGCGACUGUAGGAUGUGCUUCUGGUGUGACAGGCCCUCUGGUGUCCUGGUGCAGAACUAAGGGAGGAAGAGAAGAUACUGUUUGAGGCACUGGGAUUUGAACCCAAACCAAGCCUUACUGAUGGAGGUUUUAUGCGAGUGACUCAACAUCCCUAGCUCAUUUCUCACACUGCAAGGGAAGACACUCCUAUGAGGCUUUAUGGAGGCUGUCAAGAACUCAAAGCAUAGUAUAGGUACAUUAGAAACUUUCACUCUAAGUACCUGACAGAAACCAUGGAAAGCAGGAAGGACCUAUUUCUGCUCAUGGCUGCAGAAAAUGGAGCCCAUAGUAUGCUAUGUUGGUUCUGCGGCCAGCUAGAGGAAGCACGUUCCAGCAGUUUCUUGCUUCUUGGUGGGCAGGAAGCAGAAAGCCAGUCUAGAUAGAAACAGGUAUAGCCUUCAAAGACAGACUUCCCCGCUCCACCGGUUUUCCAGUUUUCCAAAGUGCUGUCACUUAAUAGGGACCAACUGUUCAACCAUGAGUCUGUUGGGGUAUUUCAUAUUAAAGUCUUCAAUUAGGCACUUAAUUCAUGCUAAAUUUUAGUAUCAGGAGAUGGAGGGAUACCCCCAAGAAAUGCCCAUGUAUGAGAACCAGGAGAGGAGCUGUGGAUUAGAACAAAACCAGAAGCUCUUAAGAUAGAGAGUAUACCAAGUACCGGCUCUCUCUCUCUCUCUCUCUCUCUCUCUCUCUCUCUCUCUCUCUCUCUCUCCCUUUCUCUCACUCUGCCUGUCUGUCUCUCUCUGUCUCUCUGUCUCUGUCUCUCUGUCUCUGUCUCUCUGUCUCUGUCUCUCUCAAAUCUCUGUCUCUCUCUCCUUCCCUCCCUCCCUCCCUCCCUCCUUCUCUCUGGUUUAUAACUGGAGGGGAAAUCCUAGGUUUUAAUUCAAAACAGUCCAGGUAGGAGUGCCUAACCUUUGAUGGCGACAGCCCCAUUGUCAACUAUAAACAUCACACAUAACUAUGCAGUUUGCUUGCAAACAGGUAAAUCAUAAAAAUCCUUACAGUGCUUUAAGCGAGCUUGUCAUUUUGUGUUGAGCCUUAGUCAUCACUCUCCUUGAGGGCAUGAGGCCCACGGGGCCAUGGGUUGUACAUGCAUGGCUUCCGGAUUGCCUAGUUCUGACUGUGGGAGCUUUGUCCUUGCCUUUAAGCUAUUCGCCAGCCUCUGAUGUAGGCCACUGAUGACGAGGUGAAACGGCUCUUGCUCUAACUGUACAACUGAAUUCUGCCCCCAAAGAAGCUCGGCUGAUUGUUUCCUCUUUCUGAACAAAGCCAGGUUUGCAUCCCUUUGCAGAUUUAUCAGUAUUCCAAACCCAUGAAUGUCUUGGCCUUCGGACUUCCAUUUUGAACUCAUUAUAAUAUCUGAUUGAUUCGCUUAUUAAUAAUGAGUUAAAUAAAAUCUUUGAUAUGUGUUCUUUCAACACUUUUAUGUCAGUCAUGAUUUUUUUUUUUUGGCAUGGAAAAUUAGCCCUUAAUUUCCUGCUUGAUUAUGAACUCGAAAUCAGAAAUGUUUUUCCUAGAAAGCCUUUAACGGCAUCUUAGGAGACAGUCCGUUUCCCUCUUUCUCCUUUAAUCAUCUUCUCUUUUAGCUGGGCAUAAUGGUGCGUUGCCUUUAAUCCCAGCAGCACUCAGGAGGCAGAGGCACAGGGAUCUCUGUGAGUUCAGGGCAGCCAGAGCUACACAGUGAGAUCCUGUGUCUUAGUUUGGGUUUUAUUGCUUUGGAGAGACACCAUGACCAUGAAAACGCCUAUAGAGGGGAACAUUUCGUUGGGACUGGCUUACAGUUCCAGGUAAUCAUAAUGAGUCUAUUAUCAUCUGAGUGGGACACAUGGCAGCAUCCAGGAGGUGCUAGUGGAGCUGAGAGGUCGCCAUCUUGACCCACGGGACACAGAAGGGGACUGUGUGUCACGAUGGGCAUAGCUUGACUAUAGAAGACCUCAAGGCCUUCCUCCACAGUGACAUAUUUUCUCCAACAAGGUGACAACUACUCCAAGAAGGCCAUACCUCCUAAUGGUGCCACUCCCUAUCGCCAAGCAUUCAAACACAUGAGUCUAUGGAGUUUGAAGUCAUAACAUAAUGCAAAAUGCAUUUAGUCCAACUUCAAAAGUCCCCAUAGUCUAUCACAGUCUCAACAAUGUUUAAAGGUCCAAAGUUCAAAGUCUCUUCUGGGAUCCAUGCAAUCUCUUAAAUGUAGUCCCCUAUAAAGUCAAAAUAGAGACAGAUCACAGCCUUCCAACAUAGAAUGGCACAUUCCAGAGGUAGGGAAAGGAGCAUAGUGAAGAAACACUGGAGCAAGGCAAGAGUAAAACAUCGGCUGGCAAACUCCAAACUCUUUUAUCUCCUUGGCUGAUGUCAAAGUGCUCUUUAGAUCUCCGACUCUUUUCAGCUUUGUUGACUACACACCUCUCUCUCUUUUCUGGUUCCACCCCCCUGUUAGCAGCUUUCCUUGUUAAGUAUCCCAUGGCUCUGGCAUCUCUCAUCUCUUGGGGUCUCCAAAGCCAUCCAGGUUUCACCUUCACAGCCUCACUCCAUACAGAGGGACCCCACACAGGGAUAACCAUGCAUGCCUGGCCUUGGUGACUGUCCUUAGUUUCAGAAGGAGAUUCCACAACCCCUUUCUUCUAUCCUUGACUUUCAAGCAAGAACCACGUGGCCGAAGCUGCCAAGUUCUGCUACUUGCUGGGGCUGGAACACGGCCCCCCCAUUCAAUUACAUCUCCAGCCAAAAUAUGACAAGAAUGAUCUCUGGGCAACAAACUAAAAUUCUUCACCCCUGAAACUUCUUGAGCCAGGUCCCCGCAGUUCAAAUCACCCUCAGGACAGCUUUCUUCCAUGCUUCUGCUCCUUUCCAAAUCCAAAAUCCCAAAAUUCACAUUCCUUCAAAACAAAAGCCUGGCCAGGCCCGUCAUGGCAAUACCCUAGUUCCUGGUACCAACUUCUGUCUUACGGUUUUAUUGGUGUGAAGCAACACCAUCCUAUAAAGGAAAACACUGAACUGAGGCUGGCUUACAGAGUCAGAGGUUUAGUCCAUUAUCAUCACAGCAGGAAUCAUGGCAGCAUCCGAUAGGAAGAUAUGGUGCUAGAGGAGUUGAGAGUUCUGCAUCUUGAUCUGCAGGAUGCAGAAGCCUGUUCCAGACUGGGCAUAGCUUGAGCAUAGGAGACCUCAAAGCCCACCUUCAUAGGGACACACUUCAUCCAACAGGGACACACCCACUCCAACAAGGCCACACCCACUCCAACAAGGCCACACCCACUCCAACAAGGCCAUGACUCCCAAACAUACCACUCCUUGUGGACCAUGCCUUAAAACACACCAGUCUAAGGUGGCCAUACCUAUUCAAACCACCACAUUCUAGCUUGUUUUUUUUUUUAAAUCUUCUCUUUCUACUUAUAUCUGCUUGUGACUCUUCCUCCGAACAGUUCAAGUACUUUGAAUGAUGCUUAAAUUUCCAUCCACAAAAGAGAGCCAGAUGAGACAGCAUUCCCCGAAUAGCAAUCAGCUCUCCUCGACUUUCAUGUUUCUUUCAUGUUUAAAAAUUCCUGACCGUGGGGUUGGGGAUUUAGCUCAGUGGUAGAGCGCUUGCCUAGAAAGCGCAAGGCCCUGGGUUCGGUUCUCAGCUCCGAAAAAAAGAAAAGAAAAAAAAAAUUCCUGACCGCCAGUGAUUAGGACUUUGGUUUAUGUGAAUUGUAUCUAUCUAUCACCACUCACCAAAUUAGAGACUAAACCAAUAUAUUUUGAAAUAUUUGUGUUUACCAGGCAGGAUGACUCACACCUGUAAUGCUAACCCUUAGCUGAAGUGAGCAGAUAAUAGCCAUGAACGCGAAGUCGGUCUUAGCUACAUAGCAGGCUAUAAGGUGAGACUUAAAAACAUACAUACAGUAAAUGAACAUAAAUUGCGUUGCGUUAAUUCAUUGAAAAUAACAACAGCAAACCAUUUCAUGUUAGCAAUUUUUUAAUAUAAAAGAUUACACUUUCCAGGACAAAGCUAUGCUAAGAAGAUGGACCUCAUUACCCUGUAGCUUCUCAAACUUCUCACUCUGUGAGGUGAUGAAAGGAAAAGUAACACUCAAGGACUAUUACUAAUUCAUCCUCUACCUUGGAGAUCCCCCAGAGGGGCCUCUGGGACCCGAUAGAGCUCCUGGAGCACUCUGUGAGAACUGACAUUAUAAAAUAAACUCGAACCUCCUACAGAUGGGGCCAGUGGCAUUUCGGUGGUGGAUGUGCCGGUGCACUGUGCUAGUCUCCAUCUGAGAAUGCCGGUUUGCUUUCGCAAGCUUUCUGGGACAGCUUUUCCUUGUAUGUGCGCAUGCGGAGGAAUGCAUGCAUGCGCAGCAGCAUCUGUUGAUCUGUGCUGUGCUUCAGAUCCAAGUUUGCGUGGGCUUUCACGUGUUCUUGGCAUUUGGACCGAAAAGGGAUGGAGAUUGGGGUAGAAAUGAACACCCCUUGUCUUAGCUUUCUCUGAGGUUCCGAUGAGGAUUACAGCUAUAUGGGUAAAAUUCUAGUCUUGCUUUUCUUCCAAAACUUUGUUCCAAUCAUGGCUGGAGGCAAAAAAAGUCCCAGAAACCUCCAUUGCCAGUGGUAUGUCUCUGCUUCUGACCCACUGACAGUUGCUGGGCUUAGUUGACACAGCAUCUGUUAGAACAGCAGUUGGAAAAGGAAGAAUUCUUUCUCCCCUUCUGAAAGUCUUAAAGAAAUAAUCACACCUUGAACCAUCCCUGAUGUAAUCAAUAUUGAUUCUCCUGACACAGGCUCCAUGAGACCAAGAAAUAUUCUCUGUGCCAGGUAAACCUGACAGCUUCUGCCGACACUGUCUAGGCACCACGUCAACUCAGUGAAGAGGGGGUUUAAAUGUUGACUUACAACGCUGAAGUCUUCAUGCCAGAGAGUUACAUUGUCAAAUUUUGAAUACAAGGAUAAAAUAUGCCCAGUUGUCUGGGGUUGGAAAGCAAGCUACCAUUGCUACAGAAUAGCAUAUGACAGGACUCUCUGCUGUGACAGAAAUAUUCCGGAUCUGUUUCAUUCACUAUGGUAACUGCUGGCUGAGUGUGGCUACUGGACACUUAACAUGUGAUCGGCUUAUGUGAGGAGCUGAACAUUAAUAUUACUGAAAUCUACAGCUAGCUUUGAAUAGUCACGCACGGGCAGAAUAGAGGGCGAUCAGCCAGUGAUCUCAGUGAUCUUAAUCGGAGAAGGAGUCCCCUCCCUCAGGCCUAAGCUGUCUCUGGUCACUGACCCUGCAGAAGUCUACAAGCCUUUAAGUAUCAUCGCUGAAAUAAAGGAUUGAUAGAUGCCCA